GAUGAACGCUGGCGGCGUGCCUAAUACAUGCAAGUCGAGCGAACGGACGAGAAGCUUGCUUCUCUGAUGUUAGCGGCGGACGGGUGAGUAACACGUGGAUAACCUACCUAUAAGACUGGGAUAACUUCGGGAAACCGUAGCUAAUACCGGAUAAUAUUUUGAACCGCAUGGUUCAAAAGUGAAAGACGGUCUUGCUGUCACUUAUAGAUGGAUCCGCGCUGCAUUAGCUAGUUGGUAAGGUAACGGCUUACCAAGGCAACGAUGCAUAGACGACCUGAGAGAGUGAUCGCCCACACGGGAACUGAGACACGGUCCAGACUCCUGCGGGAGGCAGCAGUAGGGAAUCUUCCGCAAUGGGCGAAAGCCUGACGGAGCAACGCCGCGUGAGUGAUGAAGGUCUUCGGAUCGUAAAACUCUGUUAUUAGGGAAGAACAUAUGUGUAAGUAACUGUGCACAUCUUGACGGUACCUAAUCAGAAAGCCACGGCUAACUACGUG
rnacentral:rRNA from 1 species